UACGAAGGGGGCUAGCGUUGCUCGGAAUCACUGGGCGUAAAGCGCACGUAGGCGGAUUGUUAAGUCAGGGGUGAAAUCCUGGAGCUCAACUCCAGAACUGCCUUUGAUACUGGCGAUCUCGAGUCCGGGAGAGGUGAGUGGAACUGCGAGUGUAGAGGUGAAAUUCGUAGAUAUUCGCAAGAACACCAGUGGCGCAAGCGGCGCUCUGGGUCGCACCUGACACUGAGACGCGAAGGCAUGGGGAGCGAACGGG
rnacentral:rRNA from 1 species